UAUUAUCAGUUGAAGAAGGGGCUGAAAGCCCAGCGAGGUUGGCACUGUUGCCUAAUGAUGGUCCUUCUGGUUGCUUCUUUGAUCAGAAAAAGGAGUCACCUUUUUGAUUGAACAUGAUAGAUCUCCAUAGACAAAAGUAUACAUAGUAAGAGUUUCUGUGUGUUUUGAAUAGUAUAGUUGGAGAAUAAUCUCAGACUCUGUAUCAUAAAGUCUAAAGGAACACCGGUAUCCAGCUCAGAAUGUAUGUGGAAUAGCAUGCCAUGUAUCAUAAGUUUCUUGUCAUGUGUUAUGCAUCUAUUCAGUGUAUACCAAUGAAUGGGCUAGGGGAAUGCUAAGC
rnacentral:misc_RNA from 1 species